rnacentral:rRNA from 1 species
UACGUAGGGUGCAAGCGUUAAUCGGAAUUACUGGGCGUAAAGCGUGCGCAGGCGGUUUUGUAAGUCUGACGUGAAAUCCCCGGGCUCAACCUGGGAAUUGCGUUGGAGACUGCAAGGCUAGAAUCUGGCAGAGGGGGGUAGAAUUCCACGUGUAGCAGUGAAAUUCGUAGAGAUGUGGAGGAACACCGAUGGCGAAGGCAGCCCCCUGGGUCAAUAUUGACGCUCAUGCACGAAAGCGUGGGGAGCAAACAGG